UACGUAGGGGGCAAGCGUUGUCCGGAUUCAUUGGGCGUAAAGAGCGUGUAGGCGGCCAGGUAGGUCGGUUGUGAAAACUGGAGGCUCAACCUUCAGAGGUCGACCGAAACCAUCUGGCUAGAGUCCGGGAGAGGAGAGUGGAAUUCCUGGUGUAGCGGUGAAAUGCGCAGAUAUCAGGAGGAACACCGGUGGCGAAAGCGGCUUCCUGGCCCGACAUUGACGCUCAUGUACGAGAGCGUGGGGAGCAAACAGG
rnacentral:rRNA from 1 species